rnacentral:piRNA from 1 species
UACAGACAUUUCUCCCACAGAUGGCAC